rnacentral:lncRNA from 1 species
GUUAAUCCAAACAAUUGAAAUUGGUGGGAGAGGAUGGUGUGAAAAGGGACUCCAGGUUUAGCAGGAUCAUCCCAUGGAAGUGACGAGGUUUAGGAAGAUUGUUCUGAGACUACUGACUUACUCAGCUAAAAUGUGAAGCAUGAAACAUUAAAGACAACAGCACUUUCUGAAAAAAGGAGAUUGUGGAAGGGUGGCAAGUUUUUCUAGGAAGACAUUGCCUACCAGCUUGAAACAUGUAAAUUGCUGGAAUUUGCAUCAAAAUAUGACAGCUCUUCUCUGAUGAAGGGUGUGUUGACAGGUCUGUCAGCUGUCUCAAGCCGAUAUCCAUGGUGGGAUACACCCCCUUCCCUGGGAAGUGGCACCCUGCUUUGAGACACCAGUUCCACAGUCAUUGAGAGGAGCUGUACACAUAAGUUCAAAGCUGUAAGUCAACUGCAUCAACAAGCCAACUGUGUGAGGCAGGUGAUUAUAAAUUAUUGAGAUUUGGCUGCACUCUCUGAUUUUCAAUUAGCUUCAAGGGCAUGCAGAAGAAAGCAAAAGUGUGACAGAAUUUGUUGGUUGUUUUAGAAAUAUUAAUACGAUGCAAACCUGGAAUAUUUCCAUGGAAUUAAACACAUCACAGCACAUCCUCUUUUGAUGUGCUUGGGCAGUGAUGUCUCUGAUGACAGAAAAAUCCCCGAACUCUCUAAGUGACAAAGUGUAUUGCACAAGCCCCUUUUGGUAAUUGCACCUGCUAGCUGAAACACAUAGAGUCCGUAG